GUAACACGUGAGUAACCUGCCCUUGACUUUGGGAUAACUUCAGGAAACUGGGGCUAAUACCGGAUAGGAGCUCCUGCUGCAUGGUGGGGGUUGGAAAGUUUCGGCGGUUGGGGAUGGACUCGCGGCUUAUCAGCUUGUUGGUGGGGUAGUGGCUUACCAAGCUUUGACGGGUAGCCGGCCUGAGAGGGUGACCGGCCACAUUGGGACUGAGAUACGGCCCAG
rnacentral:rRNA from 1 species